AACGAACGCUGGCGGCAUGCCUAACACAUGCAAGUCGAACGAGACCUUCGGGUCUAGUGGCGCACGGGUGCGUAACGCGUGGGAACCUGCCCUUAGGUUCGGAAUAACUCCCCGAAAGGGGUGCUAAUACCGGAUAAUGUCUUCGGACCAAAGAUUUAUCGCCUUUGGAUGGGCCCGCGUUGGAUUAGCUAGUUGGUAGGGUAAAAGCCUACCAAGGCGACGAUCCAUAGCUGGUCUGAGAGGAUGAUCAGCCACACUGGGACUGAGACACGGCCCAAACUACGACGGGAGGCAGAAGUGGGGAAUAUUGAGCAAUGGGUGAAAGUCUGAUGCAGCAAGGACGCGUGAAUGAUGAAGGUGUUAGGAUUGUAAAAUUCUGGCACCGGGGACGAUAAGGAGGGGACCUGGAGAAGAAGCGCCGGCUAGCGUCGUG
rnacentral:rRNA from 1 species